AUAUUCUUUAAAUUGCAUUAUUUUAAUGGGAAUAUUUCAUAUAUACACAGAUGCUAAUGCUUUUUUUCUUCUUGCAGAUUGUAUAAAAAUUAAAGUUUGUAUAAAUGAUUUUCUUACCAUGAAGUAUAUGUCUUUCAGUUUUGAAAUUCAUUUAAAUAAGAUUUAAUUAGAAUAAAGUGUUUUUUCUGUGAUUAUAUUAUUCUAAGUACUUGUCUAAAUAUCUGUUUUCCUUAUAUUUUCAGAUAAGAGAGCGGCCAUCAGGCUGUAUUGUAAACAGAAAUCUGGGAAGACAGAGAUUUAAUAGUUUUUCUUUUAAAUUAUGAAUGGAAUUUUAAAAAUACUCAGUGUAACGUUCGAUGUAUUUAAAGUCAUUUCCUUACGAAAUUUGUAACUUUGCAUUGCAUGAUUGAUACAUAUAUUUAUUUCUUAUUGUGUAUAAAUUUGCGCAGAACAUUCUCUUGUACUUAAUCUUUCUGUUUCACAAACAAAGUCAUUGGUUUAAUC
rnacentral:misc_RNA from 1 species